AACCAUAGAAACCUGCGGAGUACCUGCGGAGGGAUCAUUACAGAGAACCUGCUCCUCGGGGUAGAUCUCCCACCCACUGUAAACAGUACCAUGUUGCUUUGGCAGGCCCGUCUUCUGACCACCGGCUUUGGCUGGUCCGUGCCUGCCAGAGGAUUGAAAAUUCCGUAUUUUCUGUUUUCUGAGUUUAUAUUUGAAUAGUUAAAACUUUUAACAACGGAUCU
rnacentral:misc_RNA from 1 species